GUGGUUCUGGKUUGAGGUCUCUGGGUCACCUCCCACCCGUGUUUAUUGUACCUUGUUGCUUCGGUGCGCCCGCCUCACGGCCGCCGGGGGGCUUCUGCCCCCGGGUCCGCGCGCACCGGAGACACUAUUGAACUCUGUCUGAAGAUUGCAGUCUGAGCAUAAACUAAAUAAGUUAAAACUUUCAACAACGGAUCUCUUGGUUCCGGCAUCGAUGAAGAACGCAGCGAAAUGCGAUAACUAAUGUGAAUUGCAGAAUUCAGUGAAUCAUCGAGUCUUUGAACGCACAUUGCGCCCCCUGGUAUUCCGGGGGGCAUGCCUGUCCGAGCGUCAUUGCUGCCCUCAAGCACGGCUUGUGUGUUGGGCUCCGUCCCCCCGGGGACGGGUCCGAAAGGCAGCGGCGGCACCGAGUCCGGUCCUCGAGCGUAUGGGGCUUUGUCACCCGCUCUGUAGGCCCGGCCGGCGCCAGCCGACAACCAAUCAUCCUUUUUUCAGGUUGACCUCGGAUCAGGUAGGGAUACCCGCUGAACUUAAGCAUAUCAAUAAGCGGAGGAA
rnacentral:rRNA from 1 species